GAACCACCAUGUAGGGGCUCUGGGAAUCUAACCCCAGUCUCUGGAAGAGCAGCCAAUGCUCUUAACCACGGAGCCAUCUCUCCAGCCCCAGAACCAACACUUGUACAAGACAGUCCUGGGGGAAGGAUUAAAACAGAGUCUUACUACAUAGUCCAGGUUGGCCUCAAGCUUGGUGCAAUCUUUCUGCCUCAGCCUCUCAAAUGCUGGUGUGACAAGGUAUGUGCCUCCCUACCCAGCUGGACAAUUUUAACUAUUUUCUCUUUAGCCCUCCCUGCUCUGGAGCCUCUGAUUGAAAAAUGGCCACUGCAAGACACUGAGUGCCAUUUCUGCAAGUCUGUGAUCAACCAGGCCUGGAACACCAGUGAACAGGCUAUGCCACAGGCAAUGCACCAGGCCUGCCUUCGCUUCUGGCUAGACAGGCAAAAGUGUGAGCAGUUUGUGGAACGGCACAUGCCCCAGCUGCUGGCCCUGGUGCCUAGGAGCCAGGAUGCCCACACCUCCUGCCAGGCCCUUGGAGUAUGUGAGGCCCCGGCCAGCCCUCUGCAAUGCUUCCAAACCCCACACCUCUGAGAACCCAGGCUCCAGGUGAGUCCAGCCCCUGGGGAGAGGGAUAGGUCUUUGCCUCCUAAGGUUUGGGAACAGAAGAUUAUCCUGCCUCCACCAGGCACGGCUCCAGGCUCCUCGGAGUCUCCAGUUCCACCAGGAAAAGGCGCUCUUUUGGACCUAUUGUCAUGCUGUCACUCCCAGCUCUCCUCGUCUCA
rnacentral:lncRNA from 1 species